AACGAACGCUGGCGGCAUGCCUAACACAUGCAAGUCGAACGAGACCUUCGGGUCUAGUGGCGCACGGGUGCGUAACGCGUGGGAACCUGCCCUUAGGUUCGGAAUAACUCCCCGAAAGGGGUGCUAAUACCGGAUAAUGUCUUCGGCCCAAAGAUUUAUCGCCUUUGGAUGGGCCCGCGUUGGAUUAGCUAGUUGGUAGGGUAAAAGCCUACCAAGGCGACGAUCCAUAGCUGGUCUGAGAGGAUGAUCAGCCACACUGGGACUGAGACACGGCCCAGACUCCUACGGGAGGCAGCAGUGGGGAAUAUUGGACAAUGGGGGAAAGCCUGAUCCAGCAAUGCCGCGUGAGUGAUGAAGGCCGUAGGGUUGUAAAGCUCUUUUACCCGGGAUGAUAAUGACAGUACCGGGAGAAUAAGCUCCGGCUAACUCCGUG
rnacentral:rRNA from 1 species